UUUGUGGACACAGGUACUGGGACUGCUGGUCUAUGUUGAGGAAGCUGUACUGAAAACUGAAGAAGCAGUUAAUUGGUUGGCCGACUGAGACUGGCAACAUGGACUGGACUAGAACCAAGCUAUGUUUCACUGGCUUGGACUAGUAGUGCUGCAGCAGGCAGCAGCAUCCCAGUCCACAACAGUCGCUCCCCUCCGUCCGCCGAUGCCGGAGCUGCAGUACUUCAGCUGCAGAGGGCCGGGAGAGAGGGCUGCCCUCCACCUGACUCAUUUUUCCUGACAGAUCCUUGGACAUCCGCCCAUGCUGACUCUGCUGCUUCUGGCUGUGUCCAGUGAAGACAUUGUCCAUGGAGGAGCUGAGAGUGCUCCUUUUACAGAUUAAUGAUGUAAGAUUGACUACCUCCAUUAUUUCUUAUUGCGUAUGCAGGCGCUGGUUUAUUUAGUGACAAUCAGAGACAGAAAUGAUAUGAGGCAAGGCAUCACAUAUGCAUGAGCAGCCAGGGACUAAUGGAAAUGCUGCGUCAAUACAACCAAAUUCAGCGCAAUUUUGCACAGCACAUUGAACUGUGCAUUGCUAAUGAAGGACAACAUACUGAACAUAUCAUGCAUUGUAAUGUAAUAUCAAUAAACCAAUUACAAUGCCUAUAUUUCCAGACUCCACAACCAUCAUGUAUAUAAUUACAUCUACAGUGCAGUACCCAGCCAGCAUAUAGUGAGAUAAAUAAUA